CGGUGGGUCUUAGGCGGGGGGGUAGGGGUCCUCUGUACCGUAAACCCUCUAUAGGACGGGCUGACAGCGGAGGAUGAGGCGUUUAAGGUCGCUGAAACCUCUAUUUCCGAAGCAUUGACUAUCCGUCCCUUGGGGCUGACGAUCAUUGAGCGGCAUCCGUAGGGGAGCCGUCUUCAGUGUUUGCCAGGCGAAUCCGGCCAGGCCCGGGAGGGAGCAACCUAAGUCUGGGCGUUUGGCGCUCAAGGGGGUGCGGGUACGAGUGUAGGGCUUUGAGGGUUCGGCGGAUUCUGGGCGUCGAACCUCCGUGACCCAUCG
rnacentral:SRP_RNA from 1 species